GGCUCCGCAGCUUGUAGGUUGAAGCGCCCAUCUAGCGAAUAGGGAGUCGUGGGUUCAAUCCCCACCGGAGCAC
rfam:Aedes aegypti strain Liverpool supercont1.472 genomic scaffold, whole genome shotgun sequence.